rnacentral:lncRNA from 1 species
CUUCUACGUCGGUUGUUAAUUGUCGAUGAAAGGGGAAAGAAAAACUUAACCUGCAGUGGAAAGAAAAAAAAUUAAGAAAACACAAACCAUAUGUUCUAAGCAAGCUUAAACAAAAUAUGUAUCUAAAGAACAAAAAUAAAAAAAUAACAGAGCAAGGGAAAAGAAUACAUAAAUCUAAAUCAGAUACGACAAUAAAUGAUUUGCAGGGAAAUAGAAGUGUUCGAACCUAUUGAUAAGCAAGAAUAUUGAGAAUGGAGCAUCAUUACCACCGCAAACUCUAUAUUGUGUUUGUGGGAGAUAAAGAAGGGAAUUAACUAUUAAGCAGUGAUGUCAAAAGCCGAUGGAAUCUCACAGGGAAUCUAUAAAAUUUCUACGAUGAUA